rnacentral:rRNA from 1 species
CCUACGGGAGGCAGCAGUGAGGAAUAUUGGUCAAUGGACGCAAGCCUGAACCAGCCAAGCCGCGUGCAGGAAGACGGCUCUAUGAGUUGUAAACUGCUUUUGUACGAGGGUAAAGGCAGAUACGUGUACCUGUCUGUAUGUAUCGUAUGAAUAAGGAUCGGCUAACUCCGUGCCAGCAGCCGCGGUAAUACGGAGGAUUCAAGCGUUAUCCGGAUUUAUUGGGUUUAAAGGGUGCGUAGGCGGUCGGUUAAGUUAGAGGUGAAAGCCCGAGGCUCAACUUUGGAAUUGCCUCUGAUACUGGUCGGCUAGAGAGUAGUUGCGGUAGGCGGAAUGUGUGGUGUAGCGGUGAAAUGCUUAGAGAUCACGCAGAACACCGAUUGCGAAGGCAGCUUACCAAGCUACUUCUGACAUUGAGGCACGAAAGCGUGGGGAGCAAACAGGAUUAGAUACCCCAGUAGUC